rnacentral:lncRNA from 1 species
ACAAUGUGCCAAAGACAAGUGCUAGGAUGACUGUGAAGAUGAAUCUAACUGCCGUGUAAGAUGGAUUACGCCAGUAUGACAAAUGUUGCUUCCAGAGACAUGCCAUACAUUGAGUCCAGAAAGACUGUGAAAAUUGAGUUUCAAAAUGCAGAUCCUUUGUACCAGGACGAGGCGUACUUAAUUCAGCAAUUAAGGCUUUGUUCCUCUUGUAGAGGUCUGAUUUCUUGUACAAAUCAGCAAAGUCAACUCCUAACAUCAUUUCUUGAGAUGCGGCUGUGACUUCUAACAUCCAAGUUGCUGGAUUGUAAGCCUCUUUAAUCUUACUAACCCCAGGCAAUGACUGAACUCAACACGAAACUAAAAUUAGUAUUUGAUUAUAUAAACUAGGAAAAAGUAAACACAUAUUUUUCUCAUUUACAAUGGCAGCAGCUAUUACCUCAAAGUAUUUGAUCAAAUGACAAGAAUAGCGACCCAGAGGACCAACAUAUAUCUCCUGUCCUCCUCGUUUCAUUAGAAAUAGCUGCAAAGCCAAGUUUCACUUUUAGUAUCAGGUGGCAAAGAGAAAGAGGUAACAUAUAUUAGCAUAAUUGUAUUGGAAGGUUAAUAAGCUCACCUCAUCAAAGGCUUCAAAAAUGUCGAUGCUAGGCUGAUGAAUGGUACAGACGACGGUUCUUCCUGUAUCGACAGUGUUCCUAACAGCUCUCAUUACAAUGGCAGCAGCUCUUGCAUCCAACCCUGAAGUUGGUUCAUCCAUGAAAAUGAUAGAGGGGUUUGCUACCAGUUCAACUGCAAUGGUCAGCCUUUUGCGUUGCUCGGUUGAUAGACCAUUGACUCCAGGCAAUCCGACUAAGGCUGAUCUUAAGGGAGUUAGCUCCACAAGUUCCAUAACUUCCUCAACAAACAUCUGCAGAGAGGUGAUAUAUCAAUAUGUAAUUGCCCUGCCUUACAUGUUUCAUUAAUUUGUUUGACCAAUUUUAUGGAGAAAGGGUUGAGGGGAGCUGACCUUUCUCUUGUUUUUAUCAACAUCUUGAGGUAAACGCAACCAAGCUGAGUAAACCAAUGACUCAUAAACUGUAAUAUAAGGCGAAUGGAUGUCAUUCUGCUCACAAUAUCCAGAAAUACGUGCAAAUGUUUCUUGCUUCUUCGGAUAUCCAGAAAUCUUGAUGUCACCAUCAAUAUAUCCUCCUGUUUUUCUUCCGGCCAAUACAUCCAUCAAUGUUGUUUUACCAGCUCCACUAACGCCCAUCAAAGCUGUGAGAACACCUGGCCUGAAAGCUCCACUCACACCUUUUAGAAGUACCAAUCUAUCUUCAGUGGAACCUUGGUCUUUUAUUUCCUGCAAUUCAUUAGAAUGUUAAGUUAGUUGUUCAUAGAAAAUGAAAGCCUUACGAAUCACGAAUAUUAUUCAUGAAAAGUUCUGGAAAGUUACCUGAGGCAUGUCAACGGAGUAUACAACGUUAUCAAAAGUGAUGGAAUGCGGUUCAAAUGGAAGAACCAUUCCCCUCUUCUUGUCCUGACCAUCAGUUUCACUUCCCUCAAUGAGUCUAACAUUCUCACUGUCUUCUGAUAUUAUAGCUUGUGGCUUACCAAAAGCUGAAGAUGUUUAAUAAAUAUGGUAUAUGUCAUCGUUCAUUUUAUGUUCUUUUCAAGGGGAAUUUAAAGGCAUCAGAGAUACUCACGGUUCAGGUAAGCGAGUGCAAUACUGUAGCAGAGGUUGAAGAUUAUUAUGUAUCCGAUAAGUGCCCCAACACCUAUCCAGUACCAAUAUGCAUCUGGAAAGAACCCUCGAGAUCUUACGACAGCAUGUCCAAGUGGCUCAGCUCCAUUUGGCACAAUCUGUUUAAAUUAAGAGUAAAAAUGAGCUAUUUGCAUGUGGUUUGGAAUAAAAACACAAGAAUUAAGCUAUUUGCAUGUGGUUUGGUAUAAAAACACUUACAUGUUCCCAUUUCUUCCCAUCAAAUUCAUUCACAAGAAUUGAAUUCACAGAAUACAUUAAUGGUGAGAUCCAGUAACCCCAGAUCCACCAUUUCUUCACAUCAUCUGUAGUAUCAUGCAAACAAGAAUAUAAAUAAAGGUAUGAUUGAACAAGAAAAAUAAUUUUUGCAAACAUAAUAAAACAUACUUCUCGAGAGGACAAAUCCAGACAAUGCAAAUUGCAAAACCAGUGCAAAUGCUCCAAAUGUGGUAGCGACUCCCAUUGUUCUCCCCGCUGCACCAAUGAAUCUGAACAAUCCCGAUGCCAUCUGGUGUACUAGUACGAGAAGCAAGAAUUGUUUGAACAAUCUGCAAAGCCAUAGUCCCUUAAUAAUCAUGAAAAUUAUGAAAGACCAUCAAAUUAUUACUUUGAACAAUCUUUUUUACUUCUCUUACCUUGAAACAUUUGGAUCAAAUCCCAUGACAUAAUAUGUAAGAAAUGUCCAAAGACCAACUUCAAUAAAUGUAAUUGGGAUUUUGAGGAUCCAUGUCGGAAGGGCAUAAGCCCAUGAUGGAUAAAAAAGAAGGUCCCUUUGCUUGAAGUAGACUGGAAGCUUUAAAAUCGUCAGGUUGAUCUCAGCCAUUCCAUUAAACAUAAUCACAACGACUACGAAAAAGAGAGCACCAGCAUACAUCCCUCCAUCAUCCAUAUCAUCUCGGGGCAUCUUAGUACGGAAAAAGACGGUCAUCAUUAUCAUUGCCAUUACCAUGAGCUGAGAAAACAGAACAGAAACAAAGAUUAUUUGUAAUUGCCACAUGGUCAUGAAAUGGAAAACACUUUUAUAUUUCUAAUAGACUAAGUAGUAAGUACCUGAAAGAGCUUGAAUAUGUAAACAAAUGAGUUCCUCUUCAUUAGUAGGAAUUCUCGGUCAGCGCAGACCUUCAACAUUUGUUUUGUCCCUAUACCAUACUUCUUAGUAGACAAAGCAGCAGGGUGGCUUUUGGUCUUGUCGUAAGGAGUUGUAAGCUCAUCGGCGAGUUUCUUUCCAACAUGGAAAGACUGAUAUGCCUCAGCAAAUUCUUUUGAUGUGAUAAACCUAUAAGGCUUAUCCUUCUUAGCCCAAUAUUGUUGUUGAUCCUUCUUUGAUGUUACCUGCAAGAAAUAAUUUAAAACUUCAUUCUUGUAUGCCUAAGACAUAGUUAACUACAUAAAAGUUUGGUAUAUCUAACAGAUUAAGCUUUUAUGGUGGUCACACACUUCAACAUAUUAUCAUAAUAGAUUGUUAGUUAAGUUUCAUCACCCUUCAUGAAAAAUAAUCAGAGUGGUACAUGAAGAGACACAUUGAAGACAUAAUGAACUAUAUUGUAAGACACAGUUCAACACAACAUCAUAAACUUCGCAGGUUAUACUCUAUUGUAAGACAUACCUCUUGCAAAAAAUCUGCCACACCUUUUCUCUCGGGGCACUUGAAUCCCAUGGAUUCAAAGAAGUCAAGAACAUCUUCCCGAGGGCCCUGAUAGACAAUGCAUGCAUCUGACAGCAGAAUUAUGUCAUCAAACAAGUUGUAAGUCUCAGGGGCUGGCUGUAACAGAGAUAUCACAGCAGUUCCCUUCAAGAGCUGCACCGAUUGUCUUAACGAAUUGACAAUGGAGAAAGUAGUUGAACUGUCCAAUCCAGUUGAGAUUUCAUCCAUGAAAAGCGCCUUUGAUGGUCCAACAAGCAUUUCACCCGUCGUUACACGUUUCUUUUGCCCCCCUGAAAUACCCCUUAACAUUUCAUCUCCCACCAUAGUAUCAGCACAUACAUCCAGUCCCAAAAUCUGCAAAUGGAAGUCAAAUUAGUAACAUCCAUAAGAUAGGUUAUCCGCGACAUCAAGUUAAAAAGCGCUAUAUACACUAAAUCCUUAUUAAGUGAAAUAAUUGAAUGUGGUAAAUGUUACCUUAAGAACAUAAUCUGUAACAAUGUUGGCUUCCUGUCCUUUUGUUACUGAAGCCUUCAUUUCCAAAAAAACAAUAAAAAAUUAUCAUCAAUAAAUGUAAAUAUAGUAAAAGCUUUGGUAUUAUUCCCUUUCAUGUUUUUCUGUUGUAUUCUUACCUUCAUGUAGAUAUCAAUAUCACGAUCUGGCUUGAUAUUAGCAGCUUUCUCUCUUCUUGAUAGUUCAGCCAACAUCUCUAUACAAGUUUUCAGAAAAAACUAAGCAAUUAAUGAUUGUAUAUAUAUUUUCAGUGCCCAAUUAAAAAUAAAACUUAAUGAUAAUUCGUAUACACUUUACCAAACGAUUCUUAGUUAUAAGAAAAAAAUACUAACCAUAUCUAGGGCCAACUCCUUGGCAUCUUGCAGAAAAUUCCAAAGUUUCCCUUACAGUCAUUUCUCCAAUAUGCAAGUCAUAUUGGCUGAUAUAAACAGCAGUUUUUUGUGGAACAAAUUCAUGUAGUUCAUGUCCAUUAUAGGUCACAUUCCCAGUAACCUGAUUUCCAUAGAAAAGGGGAAAACUUAAAAAAAAAAAAAAACUACCUUAUUUAUAAAAGGGUUCUACUUCUAUGAAUUAACAGUGUAAAAUAUUAUAGUAUCAAGCUAUGCUGUUCGAAUUCUUAAAAAUGUCGACGGGUGUGUGCGGGUACUUCAAAAAGUAGUGCAUAGUUGAAGGAUCCGACAGACCAUUUUUGGAGAGUAAGAGCAACAUAGAUAUCAAGUCAAUUUUGAGGUAAUUAAAGGCUAUGUUGCUCGGACUCUUCAGUAUGGAGCCGUACCAGUGUAGGAUCCUCUAUAAAUACACUCUUUUGGAGGAUCCAACAUGCACCCGACAUUAUUUUUAAAGAGUCCAAUUAGUAAACUAAAAAAAGAUAGCAAUCUUCUAUAGUAGGUCAAACUGUAAUGAUUCCGUAAGAAGUCAAUUAUAUAGUCAGUGAAUAUAAGAUAUAUAUUUUAUAUAAUAUAUAAAAUUUAAAGAAAGGAGGUGAAAAAGUAAAAAAAUUCUGAAAAUUUUAAAAAAACUUACCUUUUAAAAUUACUUUAAUUUUUUACUUAGUUUUUAUGAAAGAAGGAAGUUAAAAAAAAUAUUACUUACUACUACUAUAAUGAAUUUUAAUAUACAUCUGUAAUUUGUUAGUCACGCGAAAAUGAAGGAAAAUAUACAUUGUAUAUUCGAUUAGGAAAAUACCAAACUUGCCCCUAUACUUUAGGUAGGAUCUUUGUUCUGUAAGGGUGGAAGGGUAAUAUGUGAUUCAAAGGUUAACGAUAAGUGCAAAUUUAUUCGGAAACUUAGAUAAGGGGUAAAUACAAACAAUUUCCAUAUAACCAGUUUCUCAAAGUACAAGGGUAAAUUUAGUCUUUUUCCCAUUAUCUAUAAUAUAUUUGGUAUUGAAAAUCUUACCUUUAGAGUAGGAUCAAGUUUUCCAGCCAAAGCUAAUAACAAAGUAGUCUUUCCAGAACUUGGAGGUCCCAAAAGUAGAGUCAUCCUUGAAGGCUUAAUCAUACCACUUACAUCAUUGAGAAUUGUGAUUUGCCUCUUUCUACUUGGAAGUAUGUGAAUAGAAUUCAAGAAUGUCUAUGGAGCAAAAAAUUAGAAAGAAAAAAAGAAGUUAGUUUCAAUAAAGGAACAACGGCAUAAAACAUCCCAUGUUAGCAGGGUCUGGGGAAGGUUCAUGUAGACAGUCUAUCAUAAUGCAAGCAUUAGUGACUGCUUUCACGAUUCGAAUUCGUAACAUAUAGGCCACAUGGAAACAACUACACAGUUGCUCCAAGCUCCCCCUUCCUUAAUUUCAAUUAAAAGAAAUUGAAAUAUUAAAAUGUUUGGUUUUUGUAUUCAUAUGUUUACCUCAACAAAGUUGGUCAUGAAAUUGAUAAAAGUAGGCAAAGCUCUGCUUCCUACAUAUGCAUCUGCCUCAAUGUUGAGAUGUUCAUAUCUCACUUCUAUUGAUGGCAAAUCAAUCCCAACUCUGUAAAUUUAUUUAAAGAGAGGGAAAAAAACCACAAGUUAAAUACCAAUCAAUUAAAAAAUAGAAAAGGGAAACUCAACUCAUAGUUAGAAAAAAAAAAAAAAAAAAGUCGAAAUUUCGAUGCACUAAGUUCUGGUUAUGCCUAGGUCUGCGGAAGGACCAAGGAUAGAGCCACAAUUGUGGUUAGGGGUUCGAUACUAGUAACUUUGGCUAAAAUAAUGUAUUUGUGUUAAAAAAAACUUUUAAUAUGUACAAAUAAUCUAUUCAGAACCAGUAAGUAAAAAGAUUGUGGUUCAGAACUCAUAACUUUAGGUCCUGUAUGGCCACGAAAAUUGUAAAAUUUGAAAAACAUAGUUUUUGUUUCCAAAGUGAAAAAUGGCAUUUGGAAAUUGGAGUUGUUUUUGAAUUUGUGUGUAAUUUGGAGUGACCCCUUGACACACAACCACAACUCUACUUAUGCACUGGGUCAAGAAAGGGCCGACAUCCAUUUUUGCAAGAGGUUGUUUUCAUAACUUGAACAUACGACAACUCUUACCAUUAUACCAAGAUAUCCCAAAAUGAAAAAAAACAAACUAUAUAUACAUGAAAAGUUCAAAUUAUUUCACUUACGUCUGAAUUCUGUCCUUGAGUUUCAACAAGAACUUCUCAUUAUCUUCAUCAGCAACCUUGACAAGCCUAUCAAGCAAACGCUUCCUUUCUUGAUGUCCAAUAUCAUUUGUAUCAACUUCAGCAGCAGUUUCACCUUCUUUUCCAAACAAUAAACCUUUUCUCAUCCGAUCGAACGUUGGCAAUUUUUCCAAUGCAGCCCAUUUAAGAGCCUCUUCAUCAUCCUCAUCUCUUCCUGAACGUGAAAAUAUCGAGCGGCUAGAAUCCGCCCUCAUACUUGCCCUCAAACUACCUCUAAAAUUGCUAAGAUUCGCCGACUCCAUCACAAACCAAUGUCCACUCGAUCGAUCAGAAGGCUAAUCUUUUUUUUAGUUCUCGUCAACUCUAAUAAGAACUCGUAAACUAUGCAAAUGAUGACUUCUCGUCGUGCCUAAAAAUGAAAAAUGUGUCCCCAAUACUUCAAAAUUGUCCAAAUGAACAUAACUAGAGUAUUGGGAGAUACCCAAUAUGUAAAGAACAAAAAAUAUAUUUUGGUGUCAAUUUGAUUACAAGGCAGAGCACUUAUAUAGCAGCAAGCUCAGGAUAUAUUAGCGUAAAUAUAGUCUUUUUAUUAAACUAUUUCUUUUAGGUGAAUAUUUUGACUUUCUAGAUUAUGAGGAAAAUCUAGAAUACCCAAAUGCCACCAACCAAUCAAUAUCAAUAUAUUAUUAUGCUAAAAUGUGAAUGGGUGAUAAGGCCAAACUGCAUGAAGUAAAUUGAUGAUAUAUAUUUUUUUCAUUAUAAUUUAAGAAAUAAUAAAAAAAAUUUAAUUAGAGAUAAAAAAUACUUCCUCCAUUUCAUAAAGAGUGAUCUGGUUUGACUUGGCACAAAAUUUUAGAAAAUAAAGGAGAGUUUUGAAUCUUGUAAUCCUAAAUUAAAGUGACGUGAAAUGUACUAAAUUGCCAUUCAAUUUUGUGGCUUUAAACAUGUCAGUGUGAAAAGCUGAAAUUAAAAAUCAUUCUUUUUUAAACGGAUUAAAAAGGAAAGCAGAUCAUAACAAUUAUUCCUACACAAAACUUGGAAUUUAGUAAGGAAUUAAUUAAAAAAAAACACAGUAAUAAUAAUUUUAAAAAAAAGUCUUCAAUUUGUUUACCUAUUAGAGUAUCAGUACAGCUGAUUUGUAGGGAUUUAUAUAUAUAUAGUUAGCUUAUGAGUCUCUCUCAAAGAGUGACUAAUUUGCUUCACCGCCACCGUGGAAGGAGACGGAACAGCUUUUCCGGCCGGAAAUAACAUCUCCGGUGACUGGGAAAGAACUGUGUGGUACUCCACGCGCCGGCGCGUGCUCCGACCUAAGGGAUCGCGGUUGUAUCUCCGAUAUGGCUCUGUAAAAUCCGGUUAGAAGUGUUUGAGAAUUCGGAACUGGUGAAGAUGGAAGUGAAGAUGUAAAUUUUUGGAGAAAAAAAGUGGCUACCUCAUAAUUCAUUAUAUAAAGUUGAACAGUUUUGUGUAGUAUAAUAUAAAUUAAUGUCAGUGUAUGUCACCCAAAUUGUCACUUGGGAGGCCAUAAUAAUGCGAUGAUGCGAAUAUUUAUUUGUUCAAAUUAUUUACAUCAAAGUUAAAGAAUAUAGAUGUCUGAAGUUAAAGGAUGUGUUUAUAUAUUAUAACUUUCGAUGUAACUUUUGAUCACACAAAAUAUCCUCUCUGAUUACUUUGUAACAAAUAUUAAAUUUUGAGGUUGUUCAAUCAAUCUUUUCUAUCACCUUGUCAUGUGAAUUAAACUAGUGAAACGCGGUUAUAAAUUUAUUAGUGAACUCAUGGGUUGGUUGGUUGUACUUUUUAAAAUAUUACACCUUAAUUGGAUGGUUGUUACUCAUUAUAUGAUAUUAUAUUAUUAAUUUAAAUAUAUGUUUGUUUUGACUGUUACUUAAUUUUUAUUAUAUCAUAUAUUUAAUUCAUUUUAAUUUAACGAUUAAAUAUAAAUAGUAUAUAUAUAUAUAUAUUAUUGUAAUUGACCAUUAGAUAGUAAAUUUGAAACCACAAAAUAUAAAAUAAUAAUUUAAAUAUAAUUUAACACUCAUAGUUGUAUAAUAACUAUUUUAAUGAUCGAAAAAAUGAACUAAAGAUAUUUUAUUGAAAUUCUAAAUACAAAUUUGACAAAUCGAUGACCUUUUAUUACUCAUUCAAUAUUAAUUUUCUCUAUUGCUAUGUGAUUUCCUAUCUCAUUUAAACCUCAUAAUUAUAUAGGAAAUUUUAAAAAUUAGGUAUGUAAGACAAUUUUAUUUAGAAAAAAAAAGGGAAUAGCAAGAAAACUAUAGAUUGAUAAGAGGUAUAUAAGGAAAUGGAAUAAAUAACAAUAAUAAGAAAAAGAUAUUUUUUUAUUUGAAAGAAGAUGGAAGAAAGAGAAAAAUUAGAAAGAGACAUGAAGAAAUGAAAUAAAUGUUAAUAAUUAAUGAGGAAAGAAAUAAUUUUGAAGAAAUGAAAUAAAUGCUAAUAGUUAAUACUUAAUAAGGAAAGAAAUAUUAAGAGAUUUUAUUGAAAUUCUUAGUAAGAAUUGGAGAAAACGGUUAAAUUAUUAUCCAAUCAAUAUUAAUAUUCUCUAUUAUUACGUGAUUUUCUUCCCUAUUUAAAACUCAUAAUUAUAUAAGAAUUUUAAUAGUUGAGUAUGAUAAGAUGAUUUUAAUCAAAGUAUAAAAAAAAAAAGAGAGAGAGAGAAAAGUGGCAAGAGAUGCAUUUUAAGGAAAUGAAAUAAAUGACAAUAAUGAGGAAAAUUAUAUUUAUUUUUAGUUUGGAAGAAAACGGAAGAAAGAGAAGAAAAGAGAGAUUUAAAGAAAUGAAAUAAAACUCAAUAAUUAAUAAGAAAAGAAAUAUAAGUUUCUAUAAAUUUUUUGUUAAAAAAUUAAGAAAAAGGUUUAAAAAUUUCGAGAAAUAAAAUAAAAUAAUGAUACUGCCCAAUGAGAUAUGUCCCACUUUAAUAGAGUAUAUAUAGAUAUAGAUCUUUAGAAGAGGAAAGGAUAGAAAGAUUUUAGUAAUAUAUAUAGAUAUAAAUCUUUAGAAGAAGAAAUGUAUAUAUAUAGGAAGAAUAAAUGUGAGUCCAUUUUUGUUGGUUAUUGAUGCUCAAAUCCAUUUGUUUUAUAGGUAAAUCUACAAACAGUUGUGGAAAACAAAAAGUUUCUUAUCUUUUCAUAUUCUUUUUUCUUAAAUGUAUAGUAAUUUAAGAGAUGUUUUUAAAGGGAGGAGAUUAGUUGGGUAAAAAAAUAAAUAAAUAAAAAUGCUAAUUUAUAUAUAUUUUAAAUAUUUAACUUAAGUAAGUACAACUAAUUUAUAGUCAACCAAUUAUCUUGAAAUAGGAAAACACUGGUAUUAUGCUAAUUUUAUCUAUAUUAAUGCUUAUAAGAAGAAAAGUGAUUAAUUUUAUAAUGGUAUAUAUCAAAGAAACACAAAAGGCUAAAAAAAAAGUACUUACUAAGAAGAUAAAUGCAAGGUUAAAGUAAUUUAGCAAAAUUUGAACGUCACUUUAAAUGCGGAGUUAAAUGUGAUUUUUAAAUCAUGGAUAUGUUUAAUGAUAGGAGUUAAAUAUCUUUUUUUUAAUCAUAAAUACAUUUACUUUGUAAUUAAAAAAUGAGAUAAAAGCUCAAAAAAUUAACAAAUAAUAUAAAUACUAAUAGAGAUUAUUGGUACCACAAUCAUCGUUUUGACAUUCAGCUUUUUUUUAUAUAUAUAUAUUGAUUUAUCAAAGUUGACCUUCAAUUUAAUCUAUGUUAAUAACUUACUUCUCUAUCACCUUGUCAUAUGUAUUAAAUUUAUCAAAGUUGGCCUUCAAUUUGAUUUAUGUUAAGUUAACUUACUAUACAUCUUUAAGUGUAAUAUUUUAUUCUUUUUCGAUCAUUGACUGUUUCGUGAUUUUACUGUAAAUCAAGUUAUUGUUAAACAACAUGUAUAUGAUGACUUCUACAUCUUUGGUGGAUGGGAUUCUCGGUAAGUUGUCUGCUUAUCGUAUCUCCUUUUUUGAAGUACAUUGUUGAUUAAACAUCCUUCUCUACCUCUAUUGAAGAAGCUUUGUCCCGUGUUUCAAAAUAUUUCUUCAUUGAAUUAUGAGUUAUGUCGAUUUGCAAAACAUCAUCACAUCUCAUUAUCUCCAAGGAUUGAUAAGCGGGAUGAGUCACUCUUAAGUCUUUACUCACUUUUGUACUUUCUGUGUUGAAUUUAAAACUCAAUUCAAUGUUUCGAUACGUAUUCUAAAGUAGUUCAAGAGCUAAAGGACCAUUCUGCAUUGUACAAACUAGAAGUAAUACUUUUCAACAUUGAGAAUAGGAUUUGUGGAGGGGAAAGUAAGGAGAAAAUAAAUCCAAAUAAAGAUUAAAUUCCUUGUAUAUUUUCAUUUAUUAAUUAAUAAACAAAUCAUUAUAUUGUACAACAAAACUUGGAAUUAUUAAGUAGGAAACCAAACAAAAUCUUUAAAAAAUGAACUGUAUAUAGUAGUUCUGUAUCCUCUUCUUUCUCUCAAGUUGUUAGAAAAUGAACUCUCUUUUAUCUUUUCUGGAAGUUCAAUGCCUUAAUGGCAUAUGCAAACAGGACGGCGAAAACAACAGGCCAUGCAACGAUACCUGCUGCAACGACUCCUUGUAUAUUUUCAUUUAUUAAUGAACAAUUAUUUAAUUGUACAACAAAACUAGGGACUAAGGAAGAAACCAAAAAAAUAUAAACAAUUUUCAAAAAGUGAACUGCACAUAGUAGUCUAUUCUUUCUCUCAAGUUGUUAGAAAGUGAACACUCUUUAUCUUUUCUGGAAGUUGAAUGCCUUAAUGGCAAAUGCAAACAGGAAGGCAAAAACAACAGGCCAUGCAACGAUAAUUGCUGCAACGACUCCAAGAAAAUCAUGCUCAAAUCCAAAAUAACGCCCCAAGAAUUGUUCAACAUUUUCAUUAUUGGUGAGAGGAGUUUGGAUGUCUCCGAAUUGUGAUGCAACAAGACCAUACAAGGUCCAUGCAACAGGGCAAAGCCAAUAGUACCAUCUCCACCAUAUUGGAAUACGCUGUUUUUAGCAAAACAGACACAAAGAUAACAUGUCAUUUUUCCGAGAAACAGUGGAUAAAAAGAAAGAUGGAAAUGAAGGAUUUUAAAAAACUUACAGGUCGUGGAACGACGAAUCCUGAGAAGAGAUUCCAUAGAGCAUAGAAGAAGGCCGCGAUUAUAGAAGCAACGUUUUGAUUAGGGGAAACAGCCACAGUCAGCAUGCCAUAGAAGGUGAAGUACAAGAGAGUGAAGUACAUGAUGAAGAGGUACCAAAAGAACUUGGCAACAGUCCAUUCGAAUCCGAUCAUUGCAUACACAAUUAUACCAUAGAAAACUGCUUGUAAAAAUACAUAAGGUAUUUCAAUGACAACCUGUGCAAAGGCAUAAGGUAAAGCAGAAUACAUUCCAGCAGCUCUUUCUCUGUAAAAUACAGUACGCUCAACGGCUACAACAGGCUGGGCUGAUGAUGAAUUUUGUACACCAAGGAAGAGAGUUGCAGCAUACAUAGAUCCCAUAGCAUUAAAAAGAUCCUGGCUCCGACUCCUGUAAUCAAUAAAGCUCGAAAAGUUUAGGGAAAAAACUACCUUAUUUCAAGUUUAUAUUUACUUGUCAAUGUGAUUUUACUUACACUCUGCUACCAAGAUCCCAGAACAAUGUGCCAAAGACUAGUGCUAGAAUGACUGUGAAGAUGAAUCUAACUGCCGUGUAAGAUGGAUUACGCCAGUAUGACAAAUGUUGUUUCCAGAGACAUGCCAUACAUUGAGACCAGAAAGACUGUGAAAAUUGAGUUUCAAAAUGCAGAUCCUUUGUACCAGGGCGAGGCGUACUUAAUUCAGCAAUCAAGGCUUUGUUCCUCUUGUAGAGGUCUGAAUUCUUGUACAAAUCAGUAAAGUCAACUCCUAACAUCAUUUCUUGAGAUGCGGCUGUGACUUCUAACAUCCAAGUUGCUGGAUUGUAAGCCUCUUUUAUCUUACUAACUCCAGGCAAUGACUGAACUCAAGACAAAACUGAGAUUAGUAUUUGAUUAUAUAAACUAGGAAAAAGUAAACACAAAUUUUUCUUUGUUAACAUACCUCA